UAAAAGGAUUGCAGACGAAAAACUAUGCACGUGUUUGACUAUUUAUAUCCAACUUGGAUUUCAAUAAGAAUUUUUGCAGGAAAUAAAACAUGAUAAACAAAUUACACUUGCAAACUCAUGUUACUGCACUGUGCAUCGUCAAACCGCAUUUUUUGCUAGAAGGUUGUGGCGGUUUUUUAAACCUGUACAACUUGGAUUCUAAUCAGCUUUUGGAAAGUCUUAAUAUAUUCCGUGGAGCGAGAAUUCAUGGUAUUCAAUAUUCACCCCGUAACGAAACAAUUGUUGCUUUUGGGGGGAAGCUGCUAGCUGUAGUGGCACUCAAUGGAUCUCAGUCUGCUGUUUCGAGGUUGAAUAUUUUGCAGAAAUCAAGCGAAACUGAUUGGAUAAGGGAUGCCAAAUUUGUCAAUAAUGGGGAUUACCUUGUCAAAUUAACUUCCCAUAAUAAAGUUUUAAUUCAGAAAACUGCCUCGAAAGCUGAAAUCAUUGAAGUGCAAGGCGAAGAGCAAUGCAUAUUGUAUUGCGGUAAAAUACUGGGGGAUCACCUUUCACAGUUGACCAUUCUAGCCGGCACUGUGUUUGGGAACAUUCUUGUUUGGGCAGCAUCGACAUCUGAAAAGGAUAAUUGCCUCUUUCACAGAUUAACAGGUCACAAUGGUGUCAUCUUCUCUAUAAACUAUGAUGAAAUUUCACAAACAAUCAUAUCAACGUCAGACGACAGAUCAGUUCGCUCUUGGAGUCUUCUAUUUGAAGAUGAUAAACCAAGUAACCUCUGGAGUCUGUUCCAGCGAGCUAGAAUUCAGGCCAAGCAUGAACUUUAUGGUCAUGAAGCCCGCGUUUGGAAUAGUGUCGUUAUGCGUCGAAAUCAAUGCGAGCCUGCGCUCGUAGCUAGUUUAGGUGAAGAUUCUCGCGUUUGUCUUUGGGACUUAACGAGCGGCACUUUGGUUUCCAAAUUUGAUGCUCAUCCAGGAACAAGCGUUUGGGCCGCCGAAUGGGAUCCUUUACGAAAAUUAUUGGUUACUGCCGGAGGAGAUGGAUCCACGAGAAUUUGGAAUGUCAAUCAUUUACAGGAAACAACGUGUCGUCAGCUGAAGCUUCCUGAAGAGGGCCAAGUCCCGCGUUUAGUGGCCAUUACAUCAUCUGGUUCCUAUCGCUACUUGGUCUUCAGUCAACAGGGCAUCAUCUACGGAUGGAAUCCAGAUACCCAGCUUUGGACGUCACUCUUUCAGGACGAAAGGCUCGGCAAUGGCAGCGUCUUGGAUUCUGACGGCCAGACGAUUAUAUUUGGAACACGCACCGGGGCUGUAUUCGUCUUCGUUUCCGGUCCAUCGUUGGAAUUGCUUACGACCCAUCAACUGGAAAAAUCGAAAAUUUAUAGCGUUCAUUUGGUCGCAUCAGGGCAGUUUAUGGCGUGUCUGGAUAACGGUCGUUUACUGCUUCUUAAUAUUUUUGAUGGCAAUGACUCGGAACCAAAGACCCGAUUCAUACUGCCUGAAGGCAAACAGCGUUGGCCAAGCUGUAUUUUGGCCACCCAAAGUCGAUUCAUGAUGGGCGAUCGUGAAGGAAGCCUUCAUCUUUAUUCAACCAAAAAAGAGACCCCUCUUCAAUCGUUUGUGAAUAUCCAUGGCAAAAAUGGCUUGACUGAUAUCAAGAGUGAUCCUAUCGGUCGAAAUCUUUAUUACACGUCGGGAAAAGAUGGCCGUGUAGGUCUUUGGCAUUUAACUGACGACCAAAAUCAGCUGGAAUUGCUCUCACUUACUAACACGAGCCUCGGCUGGAUCGCUCGUUUGCGCUGGAUCAAUCGUCAGUUAACGUACCUGGCUUUUCAAAGCGAUCGAUUCGUUGUGUGGUCCAGCCAUCAACAGAGAAGUCUUAUGCAAGUGCCCUGUGGCGGAGGUCACCGUUCCUGGGACUUUGACGUUACGUCUGACGUCACGUUCCUGUUCAUCAAGGACAAGCAUAUCUACGAGCACAGACGCCCAUUGAGUGGCGUAUUCAGCUCUUCUUUGGCCGGCCGCUGCGGAGGCCAUAGUAAAUCCGUGUGUCGGGGCAGGUUUAUCGGAUUUCACGAGCCGCUGAUCCUGACGGGAAGUGAAGACACCACCAUGAGAUUAUCCCGAUUAGAUCAGCGGUCUGCCCAAUCUCUGACCAUCAUUACCAAACACGUUUCCAGCGUCAGAGCUCUGGCCGUCCAAGAGCUGAAGGAUAGACCUGGAACUUGGUUGUGCGUCUCAGCCGGAGGCAGAGCACAGUUAUCCGUUGGACUUCUGACAAUCGCUGGCCAGGGCGACCAGGUACACGUCAUCCACCAUGACGUACGAUCGCAUUUUUUGCGCGGUUGGCUCCGUAGAGCGACGAAUAAGCCUUGGGUCAAUGACGGCCAUCCGUCCCUCAUACCCGACCCUGAAACACGCUAUAUGGAUGUUGAUGUGUUGGACCGUUGUGACAGCAACUUCCACAUUAUCGCUGCUUGCUCUGAUAGCUUUAUAAGGAUUUUUAGUUUAGCCCUGGACGGGUGUCGACUCGAUUUGUUCCAGGAAUUGAGCUUCCACAAUUGUUGCGUCUUGCAAGUCAAAGUGGUGGCCGAUGCGUACGGAAAUUCCAUCCUUUUUUCGACAGGGACAAAUGGCCAGCUCGCUGUAUGGAACAUAACUUCACUGGAAGAAGAUAAAGGAAUAGAACCCAUAGGCAGCCUUCAGGCCCAUCAAUCGGGCAUAAAUAGUUUGGACUGUCAAUGGGUGGACGUUGAUCGUAUGUUAAUUCUGACGGGAGGCGAUGACAACGCCUUGGUUUGCACCAAAGUCGAGCUCAGUUGCGAGAGGAAUGCGCUGAAAUUCAUCGAUCAACAAAAGCAAUUCCCCCACGCUGCACAGAUUUCUGGUGUGGCCAUCUUGAGCAAUAGUUUAUGUCUAAGCGUAUCACUGGACCAGCGUCUGAUACUCUGGAAGCGACUAGACACUCAGCUGACGUGUCUGUCCACCAUUUGCUGUGAUGUAUCAGACAUUCAAGGGCUGGAUGUAUUUCCAGGUGUGACCAAAACUUUGGUCAUGGUUUAUGGUCAAGGUAUUCAAGUCUUUGAAGUGGACGAGUCGAUUAGCGUUACUCAAAAUUUAGAGUAUCCAUCUGCCACAAUUGUCGACCCACUAUCCGCUUAAGUUGCAGCACUUUGCAGGUGUUUUAUGUGGCCAUUGCGUUUCAAGUGCUUGGCUACCGUUUGCUGUUGUCCAUCGUGUGAUGACUUGAUUUUUUUUUUCUUUUCGUUUUUCAAAAUUGAAUGACGUGACGCAUACUGACGAAGAAAAUGGAUCGUUUGAAGGGGAUUUACUUGCGUCAUUGCAAGAAAAAAAAAAAAGUCUCAGAAAUGGAAUUAUUUUGGGCGGUUUUUUUGUAUUAACGAAAAUGAGAGAGGAUAUUCCAAAUAUGGGUGAAAAUGUUGAGAGGGGCGGGUCGUGAUAACAUCCGCAACACGCCAACUCGUUUGACAGGUUUUACCAGUGCACUUGGAGAAAGGACUUUUUAUUAUUAUUAUUUUUAUCAUUAUUAUUGUUUGUAUGCAUGUAAAAACAGCCGCAGAAGACCAUGGCGCACCCCAUUUACAUUUAUUCAGCCUUGGGUUGUAUUCCAGGCCCAAGCUCGGCGGAGAAAUGAUUAACAUAAUAAUCCAAUUUGACUUUUAUAGGUUUUUAAAUUGCACCUGGGCAUUCUUGCCGGGUGGCAAGAAUUUUUUUUUUCCUCCCCUGCUUACAGCGCACAGGUACGAGAUGCCAAGAUGAUUCGAUUUCGACGACCUCCAAAUCUAAUGAAAAAGGAAAAUAAACACGCCUUGGAAGGCCGUCCUUUUAAGGAUCUCGAGUGUUAUAUUUACAUCGUUUCCACCCAAUUUGCCUUAAAUGGUUAAGCCGCACGUCACUUCUCACGGAAUCGAUCGCUUGCUGUGCUGUCUAAAGAUGCCCUGGAACGAGAGACUUUGAGGCGCCCACCAUAGACGAAUAAGCCGUCACGACGUCAUAAUGAAAUAUUGAGAGCUGAAGCUGGGCCCCAUGUCGAGAGAGAGACUGCCCCGC